GUCCCUUCAGGGAAGUCGGAUAAAAUUGAAACGAUACAGAGAAGAUUAGUACUAUGGCCCUUGCGCAAGGAUGACACGUACAAAUCCCAAAUAAUUAAGUCAUGU